GACAGAGGUCCCGAGCGUUAGGCGGAAUCACUGGGCUUAAAGCGUGUGUAGGCGGCGGCCUAAGUACCUUGUGAAAUCCCACGGCUCACCCGUGGAACUGCUCGGUAUACUGGGUCGCUUGAGCCACUUAGGGGCUACCGGAACAAAUGGUGGAGCGGUGAAAUGCGUAGAUAUCAUUUGGAACGCCAAUGGUGAAAACAGGUAGCUGGGAGUGUGCUGACGCUGAGACACGAAAGCGUGGGGAGCGAACAGG
rnacentral:rRNA from 1 species